AACGAACGCUGGCGGCAGGCCUAACACAUGCAAGUCGAGCGAGAUCUUCGGAUCUAGCGGCGGACGGGUGAGUAACGCGUGGGAAUAUGCCCUUCUCUACGGAAUAGCCUCGGGAAGCUGGGAGUAAUACCGUAUACGCCCUUAGGGGGAAAGAUUUAUCGGAGAAGGAUUAGCCCGCGUUGGAGUAGGUAGUUGGUGGGGUAAUAGCCUACCAAGCCUACGAUCCAUAGCUGGUUUGAGAGGAUGAUCAGCCACACUGGGACUGAGACACGGCCCAGACUCCUAUGGGAGGCAGCAGUGGAGAAUCUUAGACAAUGGGGGCAACCCUGAUCUAGCCAUGCCGCCUGAGUGAUGAAGGCCUUACGGUUGUAAAGCUCUUUCAGCUGGGAAGAUAAUGACGGUACCAGCAGAAGAAGCCCCGGCUAACUCCGUGCCAGCCGCCGCCGUAACAC
rnacentral:rRNA from 1 species